GCUUCAAUCAACACAUUUCUCUAAGUCUAGAUAGCAUUUCUAAGCUAGUUCUUUAUCAAGACAAAAGCUCAUUUGCUCUCAUAGAUCAAACAUCAAAUCUCUUUGGUUUGUGUCUAGCUAGCAAUCAUUAAGAACAGAUCAUUCAACUAUCAAAACUCCCCCAACAUCAUACGUCUUUGGUGGAGUAAGUUAAGAGCAUGUUGAGUUGGCUCAGACAUUUCAUCGAACUCCUUUCAGGCGAUGAAAUGUCUAGAUUUAUAAUCUGAGAUGACCAACUCAAGAUUAGCAUUAAGUUCACUCAAUCAAACAAUGAAACAUAUUAAACUAUCCUAGACAUUCUAGAUCAUCACUUAAUCAUCCUAAUCAUCCUAACCCAUGAAUCCAAAGAUGACUAAUCACUAAUCUUCAUGAUAAACCCAAGAAUCAAUGAUAAUUUGGUGUUAAUCAUGAUUAGUGAUCAAGAUAAUUAAGCAAUCACAAAAGAUAAUGAUCAAGAUUAGAUUUUUCACCUAAAAGUUCUUUGUGAUUAGAUAGAAAACAAGAUAAGUCCCAACUUUGGGAUAACAAGGGUAUUUAUACAAUCCCUAGAAAACCUAAAGAUUUUAUUAAAAAGUCUAAAAAUCCCUUAAAAACUGUUUAAAAUCGACUAAGGAUAAGUCUCGACUCGGGUAGAAAUGGACGGGCACAACCCGCGUCACUCAGCCUGCGUCCGAUCAUCGUCGAGGCUUCUCUGUCAUGCGCGCGGGUAGGCGAUCCCGCGUGACUCCAUCCCGCGUGACCCCGUCAGUUACUUCUCUUCGUGAUGCGGGUAAGGGAACCCACGUGCUCCAACCCGCGUCAAGACGUCGAGCAACUCCAUUCUCGUGUGCGCGGGUAAGCCAUCCCCCGUGAUCCAAGCCGCGUUGGAGCUCUCAGUCGUUUCAUCUUUAUGAGUCGACACGGGUUUGUGAACCCGCUGGUCCAA
rnacentral:lncRNA from 1 species